ACUCAAAUGAAUAGACGGGGGCCCGCACAAGCGGAGGAGCAUGUGGUUUAAUUCGAUGAUACGCGAGGAACCUUACCAGGGCUUGAAAGUUAAGGAAUGUCGUAGAAAUAUGACAGUCAGCAAUGACCUAAAACUAGGUGCUGCAUGGCCGUCGUCAGCUCGUGCCGUGAGGUGUUGGGUUAAGUCCCGCAACGAGCGCAACCCCUAUCAUUAGUUGCCAACAGGUUAUGCUGGGGACUCUAAUGAGACUGCCCGCGUAAGCGGUGAGGAAGGUGGGGAUGACGUCAGGUCAUCACGGCCCUUACGUCCUGGGCUACACACGUGCUACAAUGGUAGAUACAGAGGGCAGCCAACUGGCAACAGCGAGCUAAUCCUAAAAGUCUAUCUCAGUUCGGAUCGAGGUCUGCAACCCGACCUCGUGAAGCUGGAUUCGCUAGUAAUCGCAUAUCAGCCAUGAUGCGGUGAAUACGUUCCCGGGCCUUGCACACACCGCCCGU
rnacentral:rRNA from 1 species